rnacentral:piRNA from 1 species
ACUCACAGAAAGGAACUGGGGGAG